rnacentral:rRNA from 1 species
AGGACGAACGCUGGCGCGGCGCUUAACGACGAUGCAAGUCGAACGUGAAGCUGGAGCUUGCUCCGGUGGAAAGUGGCGAACGGGUGCGUAACACGUGAGCAACCUGCCCCGAAGACUGGGAUAACACCGGGAAACCGGUGCUAAUACCGGAUACCUUCUUCCGAUCGCAUGGUUGGAUGAAGAAAUGGAUUCCGCUUCGGGAUGGGCUCGCGGCCUAUCAGCUUGUUGGUGAGGUAACGGCCCACCAAGGCGACGACGGGUAGCUGGUCUGAGAGGACGACCAGCCACACUGGGACUGAGACACGGCCCAGACUCCUACGGGAGGCAGCAGUGGGGAAUCUUGCUCAAUGGGCGAAAGCCUGAAGCAGCGACGCCGCGUGCGGGAUGAAGGCCCUCGGGUUGUAAACCGCUUUCAGCAGGGACGAAAUUGACGGUACCUGCAGAAGAAGGCCCGGCCAACGUACGCGCCAGCAGCCGCGGUAA